rnacentral:rRNA from 1 species
UCACCUCUUCCCAUCCCGAACAGAGAAGUUAAGCCCGGAACCGCCGAUGAUACUUGGAUCAAACCUGGUAAAGUAGGUAGCCGCCACAA